rnacentral:rRNA from 1 species
UACGUAGGGGGCUAGCGUUGUCCGGAAUCAUUGGGCGUAAAGCGCGUGUAGGCGGCUUGGUAAGUCUGCUGUGAAAGUCCAGGGCUCAACCCUGGGAUGCCGGUGGAUACUGUCGAGCUCGAGUCCGGAAGAGGCGAGUGGAAUUCCUGGUGUAGCGGUGAAAUGCGCAGAUAUCAGGAGGAACACCAAUGGCGAAGGCAGCUCGCUGGGACGUGACUGACGCUGAGGAGCGAAAGCAUGGGGAGCGAACAGG